rnacentral:snRNA from 1 species
GUGCUCACUUCAGCAGCACAUAUACUAAAAUUGGAAGGAUACAGAGAAGAUUAGCAUGGCCCCUGCGCAAGGAUGACAUGAAAAUUCUUGAAGCAUUCCAUAUCAAA